rnacentral:rRNA from 1 species
UACGGGGGGAGCAAGCGUUGUUCGGAUUUACUGGGCGUAAAGGGCGCGUAGGCGGAUGUUUAAGUCGGGGGUGAAAGCCCAGGGCUCAACCCUGGAAUUGCCUUCGAUACUGGACAUCUUGAGUACGGGAGAGGUGAGUGGAACUCCGAGUGUAGAGGUGAAAUUCGUAGAUAUUCGGAAGAACACCAGUGGCGAAGGCGACUCACUGGCCCGUUACUGACGCUGAGGCGCGAAAGCGUGGGGAGCAAACAGG